UACGGGGGGUGCAAGCGUUGUUCGGAAUUAUUGGGCGUAAAGCGCGUGUAGGCGGUUUGAUUAGUCUGAUGUGAAAGCCCUGGGCUCAACCCAGGAAGUGCAUUGGAUACUGUCAGACUUGAAUACGGGAGAGGGUAGUGGAAUUCCUAGUGUAGGAGUGAAAUCCGUAGAUAUUAGGAGGAACACCGGUGGCGAAGGCGGCUACCUGGACCGAUAUUGACGCUGAGAUGCGAAAGCGUGGGUAGCAAACAGG
rnacentral:rRNA from 1 species